ensembl:lncRNA
GGUUUUGUGUAGAAAGAGGACAGGUCCGAGCUGGCAACCAACCAGCCCAGAACUAUCUUUUAUGCUUCCAGAUUCUGUGGCCAAAAACUUACCCGUGGACAUUGAGGGUGAUGCACUUCUGCUCCAAGACGUCUGUGGACUCAGCUAGAGGGAUGGAAAGGAUAUGGAGCCUCUUCACUCUUGGCCUGGGCCUGGACCUGCUGUGUAGCCUCUCAGUGGCACCAGGGCCCCCUUGUGUCACAGCAGUCUCAGGUUGGUGGCACUGCCCCAGGAUGUCCCAGGCUUCAUGAUGUCCAGGCUCCUCUGGCAUGGCGGCCUCAGAUUUCUUUGCAUCGUCUCCCUUAUCCAGAAGUGAGGGUGAACGCUGAGUUAUUCACGGGAGUCAAGAAACCACACGCAGCCCAAAGAGACGUUUGUUUCCCUGGAAUGAUUUGUGUGUGUUCACCUUAAAAUGCAACUUAGUAAAACAGCUGAAUUCAAGAAAGGGAAACAAGCAGACAGAGUAAGUACCAGAAAGCGUCUAAGUUGUUGGGUGGGGGAUCCUACUAUGGUGUUGGAUUGUGUUCUGCCAGACAUCACUCCUCAAAAAGUUGACCCUGAAAGGGCUGGCAUUGCCCUCACCCUGCGACAUUCGUCUAUCUCACCAGAGAAUGAAGAAUCUGCCAGAGUACUGUGAGUCAAAUUCAGUCAGAACUCGAUUAAAUAAGAGGCUUUGUCUCAAAGGCCAAAACAUGAGGACACAUUUUUAAUUUUAUUUAUUUUUAUUUUUAUUUUUUUGAGAUGGAGUCUCGCUCUGUCGCCCAGGCUGGAGUGCAGUGGCGUGAUCUUGGCUCACUGCAAACUCUGCCUCUCAGCUUCACUCCUCUCUUCUGCCUCAGCCUCCCGAGUAGCUGGGACUACAGGUGCCCGCUACCACGCCUGGCUAAUUUUUUGUAUUUUUGGUAGAGACGGGGGUUUCACCGUGUUAGCCGGGAUGGUCUCGAUCGCCUGACCUUGUGAUCCGCCUGCCUCCUCCUCCCAAAGUGCUGGGAUUACAAGCGUGAGCCGCCGCACCCGGCCGAAAACAUGUUUCUUUACUGCCUCAGUCCUCAGUUGGGUAGUAUGUUCUUUGUCUUGAAAGGCGCGCUCUGCGAGAUGGGAAUCUUCCGGUUGCUUACUUUAGGGAAUCCUGCCGGCUGUCAUUGACUGGAGAGCGCAGUUUCCUGGCUGCCCUGGUCUUUGAGGGGAGGGAGACUGAGGGGUCAUUUUCCUACCUGGACCAACAUGUUUAUUAAACCUGGCUUGUGGAUCCUUUGGAUCUUUUUAUGAAGGAAAAGCCACUUCUGUGACUUUCAGAUGAGUGGAAGUCAUGUUAACAGAAAUAAAUAAAUAAAUAAAUAAAUAAAUAAAUUUUGGCUACUAUGGAGAAGUUUUGUCCUUGUGACCUGUGAAUACAGUCACGGGAGAGCAGAAUGUUCACGGUGUGGGUGCUUACAGUGUACAUGUAGAGUCACAUUCUUCACUAGUAUUACAUUAAAAAGUGACAAGAGAAAAAUAUUUUGCUCAUUACAACCUCGGUAAGAAGCUGGCAGUACUCUUGUUUUUGGAAGGGUGUGAAGGGAAUAUUGAGAAAGUAUCAUCAACGUUAGACUCACCCACUCUGCAAAUCCUGGGCCGGCUCGCGUGAAGACCCCGUGAUGGAAAGAUGCACCCUUCUGCCCGGAAGGAGGUGAAUCUUUGUAGCACUCAGGAUGCAUGGUUCAUCUCUAUAUAAAGGCAGAGUGUGAAACGCCAUGGAGGCUGAGAGAAGAGAUGUAGUUAGCAAGUAUGAGUGAGAAGUUUGGGGCUUGUUAGCACCUGGCGUGUGUGCAGCAAGCUUUGCUAUCUGCACACGUGUGAUCCUUAGAACCCUGGCGUGUGGAGCCAUGAGGCUGUCGAGGGCCCCAGCUCCCGGCAGGCUGAGGAGUUCCCUGUUACCACCAGGAGAACCGUGAUUGAAGGCUGUCACUCAAUCCCAAGUCCCGGAAGGGGCUCCUUUCAGAGAGGAAAACACCCCUAGAGCCUCGGACAGAAUUCAGUGAUUUUUCUUAUGAUGUUGCUUAGAUUUCGCAAACAUGAAACCAAGAACAUAUUUCAGAAUGCUUAUGGUUCUUUUGUAACCAUGGAAACAAAGUAAUUUGCAGUCAAUGGACAGUUUGCAGAAGCUGAACUGCCUACAGCAAGAGCACAGCGCUCUCCCUACCGCCCUGGGCCUUGCUCCGGUUUGCUGGGGAGGCUUUGCAGAGCCUUUUGGCUAAGAUACCUCUCCCAUGUCCCAUGUUGCUACCCCUGGUCACAGCCAUACUACUGGGCACCUGUGCCGUGAGGACACUGAGUGGACACGGGGCCGCGGGGCAGCAGUUGGUCAUGAGGUGGCAUCCACAUGGUCCGAAACAGGUUUCUGUUCAUUAAGAAUGAUCGUUGCAAUAAAAACAUAGAGUGAAAGAAAACCCUCUACUGACCUGAGAAUGCGUCAGCUGAGUUGGAUGGGGAAGUGCAGUGAGGAAGGUGAGGACUGAAAGGAAAUGAAGGAGGGAGAGGAAAGGAGAGAAGGGAAGUGAAAGUGGGAGGGAGGAUGGGAGUGAAGAGGGAGAUGGAGGAGGAGGAAGAAGAGAGAGGGCGGUGGGCAGGAGCCUGGGAAAUGAGUCCCAGAGUCGGUUCCUGACCGUCAUGGGUGCGUCAGAGCUGGUCUUCCAGGAGAGGUGGCCUGGGAGGGCUGACCCUUAGGAAGUUAGGGCUGGGGGGAGCUGAUUUUUUGGCCCUCAGCGGGGCUGUUGCUGACCUGAGAUGCAGUCGAUGGUUAUCCCGAAGAGGUCGUCUGCACAGCCACCGUUUGCUGCCAGGUUGGAGAGAGAAGUGCUCCCCAUGGGUUCUUUCUAUUUUGUGGAGUUUUCCCAGUUUAGCUGAGCAGCCUGUCAGUGGAACUGUCAGUGAUUACUAACAUGUCUGCAUUCUACAGAGCAGUCGGCCAGCUUCCGAUCCUGUAGUUGUUAGGGACACCACUCCCAUCGUGUCAGUGCUGGCCUAGCAUGGAAGCCACAGCCGGAGGCACUGGGAAACCUGCGUGGCUCUUGCCGCGGGGGUUCUGAUGGGAGUCGUGUGCUGGAAGAAUGAUGUCCUUUAGGCAGAGCCUGGCGAGGAGGGGGUGCUGCUGUUGCAGCAGUACAUGGAAUUUCAAACGACGAACGAAACAAGCUUUUAAUUAUGACCAGAGUUCUAUGCCCUGCUUUUCUUCAAAUGGAAAUGUUGUGCUGAAAUGAAUUUGCUGUUAAUCGGUUGCCUCAUGCAAGACGGAAUGCUGGGAGCAAAGUAGAAUGUGGACUUCUCUACGAAGCUUCCUCCUCUCAGACUAUAAUCAGCUGGAUGGUGCUACACAGGAAUAUGUGAGAAUUCGUCUGAGAAAGGCGAUGGGUGCAGACCUGUGUGACCGGCAGGUGUUGGGGGAGGUUUGAGAGAAGCUUUUGGCUGAAGUGGUGUCA